AUGUGCUACUACUAUCCCGAUGCAGCGAAGCUAGGUGGUGCUAUUAUGGCGGGGGAAGGGUCUACUUCUGCUCCAUCGGAAUGCUUUUGGUGGCAGGUCGGUGUCGAGGAAUGGCAUGGUCUCCGGGAGAAAGAAAGCCAAAGGAGCGAAAAGCACACCAUCCUAGGAGCUCGGACUGAGUCUAGUUUAGGUCCAUCCGAGGGUUUGCCUUUUCCUUCUGCACUUCUUCACUUUUCUGCUUUUUGGAUGGGUGCUCUCCCCCGAGUGAAGGCAUAAGCCGUAGCCGUAGACAGUCACUAGCACUAGUUUGA